GUGUGUAACAACUCACCUGCCGAAUGAAUUAGCCCUGAAAAUGGAUGGCGCUGAAGCGGGUAGCCGACACUAUGCCGUCUGAGCAAAAAAAAAAUGAAAUUGAGUUGAAUUAACGAGAUUCUGAAAAAGGGAACUAUUGCUUGAAAUUGAGUUGAAUUAACGAGAUUCCGAAAAAGUGAACUAUUACGUGAAAAUGAGGUGAAUUUACGAGAUUCCUAAAACACACACAAAAAAUAUGAAAAACAGAUGAGUAGGAGGGAACGUGGCGGUCGUAUUGAAGCGUAUGCGCAAGCAUGCGUGGAACGGCCGCUAGUGCAGAUCUUGGUGGUAGUAGCAAAUAUUCAAAUGAGAACCUUGAAGGGCGAAGCGGGGAAGGGUUCCACGCGAACAUUGAUUGGGCGUGGGUGAGUCGUUCCUAAGCCAAAUGGUAAUUGAUUAGACAAAAUGGCGAAAGGGAAGCAGGUUGAUAUUCCUGCACACGGAUGUGGAUAUGCGGUGACGCACACUGGGGCGGUGAAGUCGUCGGUUGCACUGGGCAGAGAUUUCUUUUCUGUUUGACGGAGCCUGACUGUACGCUAUGGAAUCCGCUUGUCGGGAGAAAUAGGUAUGUCACGGCAAAGCGCCGGGUUUUUUUUCUGGCGUCCAGUUUGCGACUGGCGGACCUUGAAAAACUGUCUGCUGGCAAAACAGAGAUGUUUUGUGUGAAAAAUUCCACGCCGUAACGUACCCAUAACCGCAUCAGGUCCCCAAGGUGAACAGCCUCUGCUCGAUAUGAACAAUGCAGGUGAGGGAAGUCGGCAAAUUGGACCCGUAACUUUGGGAAAAGGGUUGGCUCUAGUGCUGCGUAGGAGUGGUUGCUGGUUGCAGCUGCAAAAUCUGGCUUGAUUUUCUCCGAGGGCUGCGGGUUGCGCGUGCACGUCCCCCCCUUUUUUUUGG
rnacentral:rRNA from 1 species